rnacentral:rRNA from 1 species
AGGGCUUCUUGCCCUCUUACGAUGAGAUGGGCGCGCGGCGCAUUAGCUAGUUGGAGAGGUACGGCUUCCCCCAAGGCGACGAUGCGUAGCCAACCUGAGAGGGUGAUCGGCCACCUGGGACUGAGACACGGCCCAGACUCCUACGG